rnacentral:lncRNA from 1 species
UGCCAUUUUUCCAUGAGAAUAAGAAUUCACUUCUUCAAAACUCGAAUCAUAUCUCCACUAUUAUAGUGACAAUCAAUCAGACACAAUAGAUCCACUCGAGAAGACAAAUCAAUAGAAAAUGCCAUUUGCAGAUUUGCUCCACGAGAAUAAGAAUUCACUUCAAUGAAACAACAAAAGAGUUUCACGAGAAUCGUCUCGAUAUAGAACUAAUCAGACAAGAUAAUAAUUGCCCUUGUACGAACAUGGAAUUAGUCUACAUGGUCAUGGCGUAUACAACUUUGAAAGACAUUGCAACAUUUUAAUUUGCAACCUUAAAAACAAGAUAUAAUCUGCUGUCUUGAGUAAAAGGUUGUCCGAAUUCAAGCCUUGUCCUCCAGGAACAAUUUUCUGCAAUUUCUUCACCUUCUUAUGAACCAACCCACCUCCCAUUUCCCCUUUUCCUCUUCUCAACUUCGUAUUUCCAUGCACAAUUUUGCUUCUUCUGCAAACCAUUUUAAUCCUCUGAAAACUGCAAGUCGACUUGACUAUGACAAGAGUCUCGAAUAUAAAUAGACUAUGUGCACAGAAGAAAAGCUGAAUCUUCUGUAAGUGUGUAUAGAGUUGGAGUUUCAGUUGUAUAGAGUGGAAGGCAGGGGUGGUGGACAUGGCCAUGUGAGGUUAGACAGGUGGUUUUGAAAACUUGAGCUGUAGAAAUUAAUGAAGGGAUUUUGUCCCUUUUUGAAGCUCCUGUGUUGUGUUAUGACAGCUCUUACG